rnacentral:misc_RNA from 1 species
AAGUCGUAACAAGGUUUCCGUAGGUGAACCUGCGGAAGGAUCAUUCAUAAUAAAAGUGUUUUAUGGCACUUUUUAAACAAUCCAUAUCCACCUUGUGUGCAAUGUUUUUUUGAAAGGGUUUCUUCUCUCUCUCUCUUGAGAAAGGAUGAGACUUUUUUUCUCUUUAACUUACUCAACUCUUAUUUUUAAUUGCCAUUUGUCUGAAAAAAAAUUAUUAUUAUGAAUAACUUAAUUCAAAAUAUAACUUUCAACAACGGAUCUCUUGGCUCUC